GACGAACGCUGGCGGCGUGCUUAACACAUGCAAGUCGAACGGAAAGGCCCUGCUUUUGUGGGGUGCUCGAGUGGCGAACGGGUGAGUAACACGUGAGUAACCUGCCCUUUACUUUGGGAUAACUUCAGGAAACUGGGGCUAAUACCGGAUAGGAGCUCCUGCUGCAUGGUGGGGGUUGGAAAGUUUCGGCGGUUGGGGAUGGACUCGCGGCUUAUCAGCUUGUUGGUGGGGUAGUUGCUUACCAAGGCUUUGACGGGUAGCCGGCCUGAGAGGGUGACCGGCGAGAUUGGGACUGAGAUACGGAACAGACUGGUACGGGAGGCAGCAGUGGGGAAUAUUGAAAAAUGGGAGGAAGCAUGAUGCAGAAACGCAGGGUGCGGGAUGACGGCCUGCGGGUUGUAAACCGCAUUAGCCUGUGACGAAGCGUGAGUGACGGUAAUGGGUAAAGAAGCACCGGCUAACUACGUG
rnacentral:rRNA from 1 species